rfam:Triticum urartu cultivar G1812 contig73616, whole genome shotgun sequence.
ACUCAGUUGGUAGAGUACAAAGCUCUUAACCUUAUGGACGUGGGUUCAAGCCCCAU